AUUGAACGCUGGCGGCAGGCCUAACACAUGCAAGUCGAACGAGUGGCGGACGGGUGAGUAAUGUCUGGGAAACUGCCUGAUGGAGGGGGAUAACUACUGGAAACGGUAGCUAAUACCGCAUACCAUCAGAUGUGCCCCGAUGGGAUUGGCUUGUUGGUGGGGUAACGGCUCACCAAGGCGACGAUCCCUAGCUGAUAUGGGAGGUUGACCAGCCACACUGGGACUGAGACACGAUCCAGACUCCUACGGGAGGCAACUGUGGGGAAUAUUGCGCGAGGGGCGCAGGCCUAGUACGGCCAUGCCACGUGUAUGAAGAAGUCCUUCGGGUUGUAGAGGACUUUCAGCGGGGAGGCGUUGCCCGCAGAGGAAGCACCGGCUAACUCCGUGCCAGCAGCCGCGGUAAUUC
rnacentral:rRNA from 1 species